rnacentral:antisense_RNA from 1 species
CUUCAACGAGCCCAGCCACAGCGGCUGUUGGGCGGCCCGGUCCUGCCCGUACGUGGCCAGCAGAGCCUGCGCCUC